rnacentral:misc_RNA from 1 species
GAAAUGCGAUACGUAAUGUGAAUUGCAGAAUUCAGUGAAUCAUCAAAUCUUUGAACGCAUAUGGCGCUCGGAGGCUAUCCUCCGAGCAUGUCUGUUUCAGUCUCGGCAAAAACAAGUCUCAGAAAAAGAAAGAAAACCUUUUUUUGGAAUUGGUCGAUGCGGUUACAAGGUGUUUGGACCUAGAAGCCGCUAGACUCAAAUGUCGGAACCCCAAAGCGACCCUUGGCGGGUGCGGGUUUUAAUGUGUCAGAACCUUACGGUUUGCGCGACAUUAGAAACGCCACACCAACAAACGCUGGGCAAGCGAGGCUCCCGCGACAAGAAAAACCGCCUUUUUGGGCGCAACCAAACCUACGAGCUGAAAUUAGACAAGAAUACCCGCUGAAUUUAA